rnacentral:rRNA from 1 species
GACGAACGCUGGCGGCGUGCUUAACACAUGCAAGUCGAACGAAGUGGCGAACGGGUGAGUAACGCGUAAUCCACCUGCCCUUAAGAGGGGGACAACAGUUGGAAAAGACUGCUAAUACCGAAUACUGAAGGAGUGGAUUGCGUCGGAUUAGCUAGUUGGAGGGGUAACGGCCCACCAAGGCGAGGAUCAUUAGCCGGUCUGAGAGGAUGAACGGCCACAUUGGGACUGAGACACGGCCCAGACUCCUACGGGAGGCAGCAGUGGGGAAUCUUCCGCAAUGGACGAAAGUCUGACGGAGCAACGCCGCGUGAGUGAUGACGGCCUUCGGGUUGUAAAGCUCUGUUAAUCGGGACGCGGUACCGGAAUAGAAAGCCACGGCUAACUACGUGCCAGCCGCCGCGGUAAUU